rnacentral:misc_RNA from 1 species
UCCAGCUUAUCGCUGGCGGUCUCCUGAGAGUGCAUCCUUACGGAUUAGCAACACAGGACAAGGGUUGCGCUCGUUGCGGGACUUAACCCAACAUCUCACGACACGAGCUGACGACAGCCAUGCAGCACCUCGACUUCUGUUCCUUGCGGAAAGGCCUCUGUUUCCAAAGGCCGUCAAAAGCCGUUCGAGCCCAGGUAAGGUUCUUCGCGUUGCGUCGAAUUAAACCACAUGCUCCACCGCUUGUGCGGGUCCCCGUCAAUUCCUUUGAGUUUUAACCUUGCGGCCGUACUCCCCAGGCGGUCGACUUCACGCGUUAGCUUCGUUACUGAGAGUGUCAAACCCCCAACAACCAGUCGACAUCGUUUAGGGCGUGGACUAC